CUCCCAGCAGUGGCGUACACAGGACCCAUGGGGCCCCGGUGCGAAAAUUGAUCCGUGGGCCCCCCCCCCUCCCUCCUUUCCCUCCCCCCCCGCGCGCGGGCCGCAACACAUGACGGUGGGCACCUGGUCGCAGAGGUUACAGGGCUGCGACCCCUGCGAUCGCGGUAUGUACGCCAGUGCAUGCAGAUGCACACACACUUAAAGGACCACUCUAGGCACCCAGACCACUUCAGCUUAAUGAAGUGGUCUUGGUGCCAGGUCCAGCU